rnacentral:rRNA from 1 species
GACCAUGCUAUCGGAUGGACUAAGACAUGCUAGCUGAGCGCUUCCAAGCCACGGUGGAGGCGCGGCGUACAGCUCAGUAACACGUGGCUAACCUGCCCUUGGGACAGGGACAACUCCGGGAAACUGGAGCUAAUACCUGAUAGGCGAAGAUUCCUGGAAUGGGUCCUCGCCUAAAAGGCGCUUAGACCAUGCUUCUAGGCGUCGCCCAAGGAUGGGGCCGCGGCCGAUCAGGUUGUUGGUGAGGUAACGGCUCACCAAGCCUAUAACCGGUACGGGCCGUGGGAGCGGUAGCCCGGAGAUGGGCACUGAGACAAGGGCCCAGGCCCUACGGGGCGCAGCAGUCGCGAAAACUUCGCAAUACGCGAAAGCGUGACGGGGCCAUCCCGAGUGCCAUCCGCUGAGGAUGGCUUUUCUCCAGGGUAGAUAGCUGGGGGAAUAAGGAGAGGGCAAGUCGGGUGUCAGCCGCCGCGGUAAUACCCGCUCUCCGAGUGGUGGGGACGUUUAUUGGGCCUAAAGCAUCCGUAGCCGGCUAGGCAAGUCCCCUGUUAAAUCCAACGAUUCAAUCGUUGGACUGCGGGGGAUACUGCCCAGCUAGGGGGCGGAAGAGGCCGACGGUAUUCUCGGGGUAGGGGUGAAAUCUUAUAAUCCCGGGAGGACCACCAGUGGCGAAAGGCUGUCGGCUAGAACGCGCCCGACGGUGAGGGAUGAAAGCUGGGGGAGCGAACCGGAUUAGAUACCCGGGUAGUCCCAGCUGUAAACGAUGCAGGCUAGGUGUUAACGCGGCUACGGGCCGCGUUAGUGCCGCACGGAAGCAGUUAAGCCUGCCGCCUGGGGAGUACGGCCGCAAGGCUGAAACUUAAAGGAAUUGGCGGGGGAGCACACAAGGGUGAGCU